rnacentral:miRNA from 1 species
AUUGCUCUGGCAGUGUGAGGUAGUAGAUUGUAUAGUUGUAGGGUAGUGAUUUUGCCCUCUUUGGAAGAUAACUAUACAAUCUAUUGCCUUCCCUGAAGAGCAGAAAAGCA